rnacentral:lncRNA from 1 species
CGACUGAGAGAGUAUAUAUUUAGAAACGGACGUGUGUUUUAAUACAAACCGCAUGUACUUACCGAUGCAUUAGGUUCUGCAUUAUCUGGAACACGCAGUGUAACGCUCUCCGGCCGCAGUGGACACACACGGUGCCGGGUUCUCUGCUGGCCACCUAGAGUUACGAUGGCAAAGCAGAACCAAAUCGAUCAUCUGCACUCUUCACUAUCUAGCUAGUUAUCAGCCUUUUCGAUCGCAUCCAAAAUUAAGCAAAUAAAUGCAGCACAAACCUGGGUGUUACAAUGUGUGUUUUUUUUCUACUCCAAGCAGAACAACUGAAUCACCAGACUACUCAUAGGACCUAACAACUACUGACCAUAUUUAACUAAAAACGGUCAUCGAUCCGUCUUCCAUAGUUGGUUCCUCUAAAAUGGCGGUGAUAAUAAUAAGCCUCACUUCUGCAAACCGGCGGUAAUUGUCCACUUGGUCAAGAACAUUUAGAGAACAAAACAACCUCGAAUGGAACCCCAGCUAAGCCAAGCCAAACUCGAUCACCCCCACUGCUCCUCUCUAGCUCGAUGAUCUUGGCCCGAAGUGUUUCAUUCUACAGCGUUAAUAUAGCGAGUGGCCUGACAACUAUGGUUUUAUUUGGACUAUAAGUUCGCUGCCGGAUUGCACAUACAUUCGGGGGGUGUAGACGACGCUGGAAAUGGAGUAGGAGCCGGUGGUGGUGGUUCCUCAUCGUCUGCGGCGGCGGAGCUUGUGGAAUGAGGCGGUGGCGGCAUUGCUUCGAGAUCGUGGUGGCUCUUUCCUCUCCAAUGUUGGUCGGAGGACUUGGAGGAGUAGCAGCUAACGGAUGAAGAUCGAUGGACUUGGAUGCCAAGGCAAUCCCUCACAGUCGGAGCUGUUGGUGUGGUGAUGACCGGGUUUUCAAUUUGGAUCGAGCUUGCCGGCCGGCGUCAGCCCUCAAGGCCUCAACUCCU